UACGGAGGGUGCGAGCGUUGUCCGGAAUCACUGGGUUUAAAGGGUGCGUAGGAGGGCAGGUAAGUCAGUGGUGAAAUCUCCGAGCUUAACUUGGAACUGCCGUUGAUACUAUCUGUCUUGAAUACCGUGGAGAUGAGCGGAAUAUGUCAUGUAGCGGUGAAAUGCUUAGAUAUGACAUAGAACACCAAUUGCGAAGGCAGCUCGUUACACGAAUAUUGACUCUGAGGCACGAAAGCGUGGGGAUCAAACAGG
rnacentral:rRNA from 1 species